AACUGAUACUACCUGCGGGAACCUGCGGAAGGAUCAUUACAUGAUUUGAGGGGGCUCACGUCCCCUCAUCCAACCCACAAACCCCGAGGAACUUUUAUGUCGAGUGGUUCGGCGCUCUCUUUGAGAGCCGCCCCUCAAACGCAUCGCAGGCUUUUCGUGAAGGUCUGAUGUGUCACAUCGUGAGUAUUAAAACUUUCAGCAAUGGAUCUCU
rnacentral:misc_RNA from 1 species